CGCGUAGGUGGUGAUAUAAGUCCGGGGUGGAAGACUGGGGCUUAACCUCAGAAUUGCCUUGGAUACUGUAUGACUUGAGUCAGCGAGGGGAUGGCGGAAUUCCAGGUGUAGCGGUGAAAUGCGUAGAUAUCUGGAGGAAGGCCGGUGGCGAAGGCGGCCAUCUGGCGCUGAACUGACACUGAGGCGCGAAAGCGUGGGGAGCAAACAGGAUUAGAUACCCUGGUAGUCCACGCCCUAAACGGUGGGUACUAGGUGUAGGGCUCGUAAGGGUUCUGUGCCGAAGGGAAACCAUUAAGUACCCCGCCUGGGAAGUACGGCCGCAAGGUUGAA
rnacentral:rRNA from 1 species